rnacentral:rRNA from 1 species
UACGUAGGGUCCGAGCGUUGUCCGGAAUUACUGGGCGUAAAGAGCUCGUAGGUGGUUUGUCGCGUUGUUCGUGAAAACUCACAGCUCAACUGUGGGCGUGCGGGCGAUACGGGCAGACUAGAGUACUGCAGGGGAGACUGGAAUUCCUGGUGUAGUGGUGAUAUGCGUAGAUAUCGGGAGGAACACCAGUGGCGAAGGCGGCUCUCUGGGCCUUUCCUGACGCUGAGACGCGAAAGCGUGGGGAGCGAACCGG